AUUGAACGCUGGCGGCAGGCCUAACACAUGCAAGUCGAGCGGAUGAAGGGAGCUUGCUCCUGGAUUCAGCGGCGGACGGGUGAGUAAUGCCUAGGAAUCUGCCUGGUAGUGGGGGAUAACGUCCGGAAACGGGCGCUAAUACCGCAUACGUCCUGCGGGAGAAAGUGGGGGAUCUUCGGACCUCACGCUAUCAGAUGAGCCUAGGCCGGAUUAGCUAGUUGGUGGGGUAAAGGCCUACCAAGGCGACGAUCCGUAACUGGUCUGAGGGGAUGAUCAGUCACACGGGAACUGAGACACGGUCCAGACUCCUACGGGAGGCAGCAGUGGGGAAUAUUGGACAGUGGGCGAAAACCUGAUCCAGCCAUGCCGCGUGUGUGAAGAAGGUCUUCGGAUUGUAAAGCACUUUAAGUUGGGAGGAAGGGCAGUAAGUUAAUACCUUGCUGUUUUGACGUUACCAACAGAAUAAGCACCGGCUAACUUCGUG
rnacentral:rRNA from 1 species